rnacentral:rRNA from 1 species
GAUCCUGGCUCAGGAUGAACGCUAGCGGCAGGCUUAACACAUGCAAGUCGAGGGGCAGCAUAAUGGAUAGCAAUAUCUAUGGUGGCGACCGGCGCACGGGUGCGUAACGCGUAUGCAACCUACCUUUAACGAGGGGGAUAACACUGAGAAAUUGGUACUAAUACCCCAUAAUAUCAUAGAAGGCAUCUUUUANGGUUGAAAUUCCGAUGGUUAGAGAUGGGCAUGCGUUGUAUUAG